CUUAUAUUGUAUGUUAGUCGCUGUUAAUCGCGAUUGGGUUGAGUCUUCAUUUCGACAAGUCAUUUUAUUUAAAAGAAAGCAAAAAAAAAAAAUACCUGCUUUUCCGCUUUAUUUUAUUUUGAGUUACUAAAGUGACACCCGAAAAUCGGGGUGUUACAUCGCUUAUUUACCUACUUUGAGUCAUAGUGAUGAAUUUUGAAGAUGGAAGUCAAGGUGCUCUUGGAUUGCCUUUCUCUGUCGUCGGUGUGGGACUCGACGCCUAUGAACCUACCCCAGUUUCCUGCUUUACCUUCUGCCAUUGUUAGCGUCCACGCCGGUCACUACCACUCCCUCGCCCUCACCUCCCAAGGUCACCUCUGGGUUUGGGGAAGAAACAAGGAAGCUCAACUCGGCCUUGCUUUUUCUUCCAUGUAAAAUGUUGAAGCGGUGGUGAAUUUGGAAUUGGUUUCUUCUAAUAAGUAUGUGAGUUACUGAAGGUAACCUUUCGGAUACUGUAUUUUACCCAACGGAGGCAGAGCUUGUUGGUGUCCGGCUCUGUACCAUUGCUCGGUUCCGGGAAUGUGUAGAAGGGUGUGUUGCUCAACCUAUUUCCUCAAGUGUCUGAGCUCGUAUGGAUCGGAAGCAUAACAGUGCCAAGAGGGUUCCUAUGCCAGUAUAGCUAUAUGGUUGAAGAUUAUAACAAAAAUAUUCUGAGAUGAGAGAUGGGUAAGAAGUGCGAAUUGAACCUUCCUGAAAAUAACCAGAAUGGCCUGGAGGUUGAGUUUUGUGAUCUGUGGCAGAAAUCUAAGUCGCCAACAUGGUCGUUGUAGCAACCAGAGUCGCAACGGGACGACGCAUAAAAGAUUUUUAAAUCGGAAGAGUCGCCACCAAUUUAUUAAGGGAAAUUGGAACCCUUGAAAUGAAGAGAAAAUUGGUCUGCUUCAGAGUUCUGAACCUAGGAGUCAUUUACGUGUGGGGAAUGUAUUGGCACCCCGCGACGUCCGUAAAACGGUUACCUUAGAUUGAUUGUGCAAAAUUAAAUAACUUUAAAAUAUUCAUUUUACCCCCAAAAAGAACAUUUAAAUUUUGAUAUCCUAUGAUUUAAUAUUUACAAAUGAAAGAAAACGGUUAUUUACAUGGAAACCUAAGGUUUUAUUUAUAUUUUUAGCGCAUGUCGGGAAUUAAAAUCCCGGCCUACGUAUUCUCUGUGAGGAGACAUCAAGGCUAUGUAGUUCUGAAUUUUGAGAGAAUUUUUCUUUUGAAAGAUUAAUUUGAGGGUUAAGUUGAGUUUGUUUUAACUUUAAAACAUCCAUGCUACCAAAUGGAUAAUCAAUGAAUUUUUGUGAGGUAAAAGAUAGAAAUGCUAUUCUGUUACCAUCAUUGAAUUGAGAAAACAUGGUUUAUUUUAUUUUUGACGUUCAUGCUAUCAAAAGGGUAGUCAAUGAUUUUUAUGAGGUAUUCAAUUACCAUCAUUCUUGAGAAAACAUAACUUAUUUUAUUUUUAAAGUUUAUGCUACCAAAUGGGCAGUCAAUGGCUUUUCGGGAGAUAAAAGAUAGAAAUGCUAUUCUAUUACCUCCCUCAUAUUAACUAUAUUUAUUCAUGA